CUCAAUUUCUAAAGGGGGAAGGGAACGACUUCAAUAUAAGUGCCGAUAGAGGAGACAGCAAUUUAAUUAAUUGUACUAACAACGUACUGAUAGAAACAUUAGUUCUCUUACAAUCAUGUACGAUGAGGAAUCAGGGUUUAUCCCGAAUAAGUCUCAUCAUUUUGUGCUGAUUCAUUUCCUUUUCAGCACUAACUAUAAUUAAAUAAAGAUGUUAUUUUUUUAAUCUGAUUAGUAGAAGGUACCGAAAAUAAUUUGCAUAUCAUAGUAUUGUGAAUUGAAUUUCAUAUGCUUUCUUAUGUACCUGGGUUUCGCGAUUGCAAGCCAUCUUGCUGAAUCAUGAUCUAAUAAAAUGACUGAAAUAGCCAUUUACAUAUAAAGUAACAUAACGUAAAAAUAACUUGCGAAAUAAUCCAACGCCGCUCAGAGUAAAUCUAAGAAUAGGCUAUUGCAUGGUUCUCUAAAAAUAGAAAUCAAUGAAAAUGUAUUUUCUUCUUGCCGAGCGAAAAACUGUAUUUUUGAGCGUAUAAAGCCAGAAAACCGGCAUUGAACUUCUAUGUAAUAUUAAGUUACUACUAUGAUGUCCGUCGACAUAUGUAAACUCUAGUAACUGAGCCUUUUUCUUAAAAAUUAGGUUUGAAAUUAAUGCCAAAUUAAUUAAUGCCUAAUUUAAGCACUGGUGUUUAGCGACGUUCAGUCUCGUUGUAGUUAGCAAUUCCGAUCAUUGUUGGGAAGCUUGUGCACGUGACGCUGAUGCGUUGACCCAUGUAUUAGCUUUGCUUUAUAUUAAUGAAGCGAGGACGCUUCUUACAGCGGGGGGGGACGUGUCAGGCCGUGAUGUCAUCAGCGACUAUUACGUCACCUUCUGUGACGUCACUAUACGUGGGUCACCGCGUAUAUAAGCUGAGAAAGCGCACUGUUAGUCAGUCCCAGCAGAGUCUCAGUCUUAGGCAUACAGCCUUCAGCUGCAGUCAUGCAGACUCCGGCACUCAGACCAAUAUGUAGUGUCGUUAACUCUAUCUCCCAAUCUACUGCACAUACUGUGCUUGAUCCUGUAACUUCUAUCGAGUGUAUCCCAUGAACCUUUCUUCAAUACUUAAGCUUAGAUA